UACUAGUUUAUCUAGCUUGUCCUGCGUUGCAUAUAAUCGAUGCGGUGCCUGUUAAUUUAGGUAGUAUAAUGGAAGUAGAGUAUGAUACCAUACUGUAGGUAGUAUAAUGGAAGUAGAGUAUGAUACCAUACUGUAGGUAGUAUAAUGGAAGUAGAGUAUGAUACCAUACUGUAGGUAGUAUAAUGGAAGUAGAGUAUGAUACCAUACUGUAGGUAGUAUAAUGGAAGUAGAGUAUGAUACCAUACUGUAGGUAGUAUAAUGGAAGUAGAGUAUGAUACCAUACUGUAGGUAGUAUAAUGGAAGUAGAGUAUGAUACCAUACUGUAGGUAGUAUAAUGGAAGUAGAGUAUGAUACCAUACUGUAGGUAGUAUAAUGGAAGUAGAGUAUGAUACCAUACUGUAGGUAGUAUAAUGGAAGUAGAGUAUGAUACCAUACUGUAGGUAGUAUAAUGGAAGUAGAGUAUGAUACCAUACUGUAGGUUGUAAAUGGAAGUAGAGUAUGAUACCAUACUGUAGGUAGUAUAAUGGAAGUAGAGUAUGAUACCAUACUGUAGGUAGUAUAAUGUAGAGCUUUUUCAUUUGUAUAAACUGAGUU